GGCCGAGUGGCGGAAUUGGCAGACGCACAGGACUUAAAAUCCUGUGGGGGGUAUCCCCCGUGCGGGUUCGAGUCCCGCCUCGGCUA
rnacentral:tRNA from 1 species